rnacentral:rRNA from 1 species
AUGUACAUUCCUACAACAUAACGUUAAUGCAUCAGAUCCCAUUAGAACUCCACAGUGAAGCAUGCUCUGGCUAGAAUAGUACUGGGAUGGGUGAUCGCCUAAUAAGCCCUAGUGUUUUACAUG